rnacentral:rRNA from 1 species
AUANUUUGAUGAUGGCUCAGAACGAACGCUGGCGGCGUGCUUAAUACAUGCAAGUCGAACGAGAAAGUCCGGCUUCGGUUGGACAAGUAAAGUGGCGAACGGGUGAGUAACACGUGGAUAAUCUGCCCUUAAAUCUGGGAUAAUCCCCCGAAAGGAGGUCUAAUACCGGAUGAUACCCUUUAGUGGCAUCGCUAUGGGGUCAAAGGCGGGGUAACCUGCCGUUUAAGGAUGAGUCCGCGUCCCAUUAGCUUGUUGGUGAGGUAACGGCCCACCAAGGCUGCGAUGGGUAGCCGGCCUGAGAGGGUGAUCGGCCACACUGGGACUGAGAUACGGCCCAGACUCCUACGGGAGGCAGCAGUAGGGAAUAUUGCGCAAUGGACGAAAGUCUGACGCAGCAACGCCGCGUGGGUGAUGACGCUUCUUGGAGUGUAAAACCCUGUCAGUGGGAAAGAACCGUACGGGGAGUAACUGCCCCGUGCCUGACGGUGCCCGCAGAGGAAGUCCCGGCUAACUCCGUGCCAGCAGCCGCGGUAAUACGGGGGGGACAAGCGUUGUUCGGAUUUACUGGGCGUAAAGGGCGCGUAGGCGGACCUUCAAGUCGGGUGUGAAAACCGGCGGCUCAACUGCCGGCCUGCAUUCGAUACUGGAGGUCUUGAGUACAUGAGAGGAAAGCGGAAUUCCAGGUGUAGCGGUGAAAUGCGUAGAUACCUGGAAGAACACCAGUAGCGAAGGCGGCUUUCUGGCGUGAUACUGACGCUGAAGCGCGAAGGCUAGGGGAGCAAAC